UCUCCGUUGGUGAACCAGCGGAGGGAUCAUUACAGAGUUUUCACAACUCCCAACCCUUGCGAACCGUACCCAUUCUGUUCUCGUUGCUUCCGGCGGGGGGAACGGGGGGGCCCGAAACGGCCUCCCCGCCCCCCCCGCCGGGGGCGGCGGGCCCUACGAACCGUUAUAUCCCAACCACCAGAAACCGUCUGAGAAAACAAACAAAAUAAUCAAAACUAUUAACAACGGAUCUCUUGGCUCUGGCAUCUAUGAAGAAAGAAACAGAACGGAAAAGCACAC
rnacentral:misc_RNA from 1 species